AAAUCGGAAUAUCUUUACCAAAUUGUGGUUCUAGGGAAGGGCGGAGUAUCCUUACCUGUUCGGAAGAUGCGUACAAAGAAGAUUCACGCGCGAAGGGACGAGCGAAAGGCUUCCUAGUAUUCCAUAUCCUGGUAUAAGAAAGAAAGUCGAGCUAGGCAAGGUCUUCUGUGAGUGAACGAGAUGAGGAUCGAGGUAGUUCAGUUCCCCCGGGGUAGGUGCUUUCUUCGCGAGUAUGUCUGUUGAUGGCGCUAUGUCCUAUCUUCUCAAGGAAAGCUGUCCAACUCAACGUGUUACGCAUCAGCGGCAUUUGCUAUAUAAUCCGUAUCUCUUGUCAGAAUUUAUACUAUAAGGGAGGAUAAAAAGUCUGCUUAGUAUUCUCGGACCCGGGGGUGAUUCCAUUCACUUCUUCAACUGCUAAGAAGAAUAGCUUUUCUUCCCAGAUCGGGAUUCCUAUAAUAAAAUAAGUAUCAAAAUAAGGCUCAGGCCAGCGAUGAGGAUUAGUUGGCAAUUGCCUUAUUAAAUGGAAUUGAAUGAAAUUCAAGGAGGAGAUGCGAGGAAGAGCUCAUUAGAUCCAUGCCACUUCGAACUCCAAGUCUUAAGCAAACUGGCAUCUACCUUGCCUUGCUCUGUAGCCGGAAUAGAUAGAUUCAAGGGGCGAAGGAAAGAUAGUUCUUUGAGUGACAGAGAUUCCGAUUCAACUUCUCCCACGGGGAAAUCCAGCCUUUAUAGUUCAGCUAGCCUAUUAGGCGCUGUGUAAGAGCUCUAUGCUAUCUAUGGAAUAGCGGUCAGUGCUGCUUGAUUGACUGCUUGAAAGUUUGAAACAAGUCUUGGAUUCGGAAGAGAAGUAGGCGUAGAGGAUAUUGAUAAAGAUCCCACAUCUGGUUAACUGCUUUAGGAGUGCCGGCUCCAGGCUAGAGAAAAGAUAGGCUAUGAAGCUGUGAAAAAGAGUUUCUAUCGAAAGUUUUCUUUUUAGUCACCGAUAAAGAAAGUAGCUAGGCUUCCUGGUGGUUUGAAAGAGAUCUUAGUGCCUUAGACGACCUAGAAGGAGGAUUGCUUCUCUCACCCGUAGCAAGGUAGCCCAAGAUUCUUUUGAGACGAAUGAAUGCCGAAGAAAGGAAGGCCUGAGAGCUUACUCCGCUGUUCGUGGUGGAAUAAGGGCUUAGGAGUAGUAGGGCUAAAGGCAUGCCUUAAGGCAGCUCGUGACCUAAGGUAGGCGCAUUAGAAUGAAUUAGUGUUAGUUUUGGCAUUUCUCGCAGGGGAAUAGGAAGAAUUUCAAAUGACAAAGCGAAAUUCUCUUAUUAAAAAAGCGGACUAGGAGCGGAAGGCGAAAGGGGAUUUCUUUAGUAAGGAAGGAAAACAAGUUAGUUACAUCUAUCUUAAAGUCUGAUUCGGAUUCUGCUCUCGCUGUUCUCAAAGUAGCGAAGUUACCCGAGGGAGAAGCUCUGAUUCCUCUUGUUGAAUCGAUUCUUUACAACGUAUCGUAUUACUAAAAAACAAAUACGUUAUAAGAUAAGUAAGGGCGAGAGGAAAGAGACAACAGCUGUUUACUAGCAAGCAUUAAAAGCAGAUGCCAGAAUGACUCUUUGAACUGAACGACGUAAUAAAUAAAGAAACUAGCUGCCAUCAAGACUGAACGAGAUGAGGAUUAAAGAAAAUCGAACUGUGAUAACCUUUGUUUUUACCAUAAAAGCAGAAAGAAGGAAAGAGAACAGAUGAAAGUUCGCCCAAAAGAAGCGAGUGACUCAAGAUAUGCCAUCGCUCUUCUCUCUUGACCUGAGACUUGGGGGAGUUCUGUGAGCGAGGAGCGAAGCCUUUCGGUAGCUGUUAAAAAUAAUCAAUGAAAUCAGCUCCAGAGAUAGGAGUUCUAUGUCUAGGUUGAGGGUUGAGGAGAGUCCUUUUAGUUAAUCUUAGCUGCUACCCUACUUAUCCCAGCUCUAAAGGCAGCUACUGACUCGUCAAGUUGAGUCGACUGUGAUUCUUCUUGUUCCGCUGUGAACGGUAUCGUUAUCGUAUUCAGUAGUUUUCCCGGCUCUCCGCUAAAGCCCUUCCUCCCGUGCCUGGGUGAAUAUGAAUGUCUUUCUCCCGGCCUACUACGAUUUCCGGGUGGGAAGAAAGUCAUUGCUAGCUCUUUGAACGAAUACGCUCUUGGGCCGCAGGAAGAGCAUCUCUCUCUGUCUAUUCAAAGAUCCGAGACAGCUAGUUCAGUUGGUGACAUUGGUUCUCCGUCUCUACUCUCCUAUCUCUCUCACCCUGGUUGGGCUCUGGCUUAGUGUGAUUAAACUGUGAAUCGAGUCAGGAAGAAGAAGUCCAGCUCCAGGCUUUAAAGAAGAAAGACCUGGCUUCAAGGGCUUUAGCAGUUCUCCGAGGCUAAUUUAAUUCACGAUUGUUGAAUCAGCCUACUUGUAGUACGGUACCAGUAUUUACAAUCUUUACUUCUCUAUUAUAUUGGUCAAUACGUUCACGGAUAAUAUUACUAAUUUCGUCGGCUCGAAUGGUUACCAUGAGUAUUUCUUAAUUCAUUUUUGAAAAAAAAAAGAUACCUAGAGUAGAAGGACUAAUCAGUUAUUUCUUUCAUCGCCCCCAAGAUGCCAAUAUUGGCACUGAUGGUACGUAAAUGUAACUCGUUGUUCAAACAACCACUCAGAGUUCCUAGAGCCCCUUGUAAGGCUUGUUGGAAAACCCGUUGUCGGACUUGAUUAAUCGCCCUUUGUUGUUCAAAAUGAAUAGUUUCGUUUUUGUAAUUUUCUAGUUGUUCCAAAGUCUUAGAAGUUGAAUUAAUAAAAUUCCACUUUUCUCGCUCUAUCUCAGAGUAUCCAUUCACCCGAAACUGAUCUGCUUCCAUUUCCACUUUUCGUAAGCGCGCCCGGGCUUUUUCCAGCUGUUCAAUGGCCCCUUCACGGAGUUCUUCUGAAUUUCGAAUAGUAUUCAAAAUCCUCUGUUUUCGAUUAUCUAAUAAAUCACUUAAUGAAAGUAGAUUCUCUUUCCAUUCAUUUAAAAACUUCCAUGAUCCCUUCCCGAACCAAACAUGAAUCUUUCGAUUCAUUUGGCUCUCACGCUCAAUUACUUAUGGUAAAUUCCCAUAUCUUUUUUUGAAUGUAAUGAGCCUAUCCUCUAUUCUCUCUUCAUAUUCAAAAAUAAAAUAAAAAUAUCGUCGAAACUAAUCACUCAUCCAAAACCAAAAUAGCCGGAGGACUCUUCUGACCAAACAAAAAUAUGUAAUUGUCAGCAAAGUUGUUUCUUUUUUUUCAAAUCCAAAAAGUUUUUCUUUCUUUAUACACAAUACAUAGGUCGUCGAUUCAGCAUUGGAUAAAAAUGGGGAUUUCGUCCCCCUUUUUUUUCUAAUUUUAUAAUAGGUGGUUCAAAAAAUUUUAUCCAUAUGAGUGUUCUAUAUCGAUAAACUAUUCAUUUUUGAAAGCAUCUCUAUAUUACUAUUAAUAUAGUGGUAGAAAGAGUACCAUGCUGGGUCUGGACUUCAAGCGAUUUAGCUUUAACCAUGUUUAACGGUCCCACAUUAUUGGUUGAUAGAGAAUCAAAGUAGAUUUACCAACGAAUCACGAAAUGCUAUCGUUCUUACAUAUGAUUUAUUAAUUUAUUCAGAAGUCAUUCGUGAGAUCAUGCACCUUUCUUUCCUAGUUCUAACGGAAAAAGUACAGCUGGUUGGAUCCAGCCUAUUCUUGAAAUAAACAACUCGCACACACUCCCUUUCCAAAAAAGAUCAAUACCCCAAGCACUACACUUAGAUUUAUUAGAUUUGUUGCUAAAAUAUCGGUAUUAAACCCGAAACUCCCGGCGGACGGCCAGUGGCCCAAAGAAACGAAAGAAUCGGUUACAUUUUUCAUAUGAUCUCCUCUUAUAGAUAGACUAAAAAAAAAAAAAGAACAGAGUUCUUUUUGUAUAACCUUGCCCCUGUUCUUUUUUUAUAUAGAAAUUUUCCUAUUUUUAAAUCGAGUCAAAAAAGAUUCGAUUUAAAAAUGGCGAAUUACCCCUUUGUUGCAAUCCUUCCUAAAAGGGGAGUCCUUGGACUACGCUACGAACGGGAAGGAUGAAAGCGAGUCGGUAUGCUGAUUCCUCAUCCGCAAAUCAGCCCUUCCCGUGGGUUAUUUUCUCAACGAAUAAGAAAUUGUAGGAAUGAAAUCUUGAUAUAAUUCGAAAAAAGCAAAUGACAAGUCCAAGGCAAUAAAAUAUGAAAAAUAUUUAUUUUUCAUAUUUCUAAGAUUAAACAAAAGGAUUCGCAAAUAAAAGUGCUAAUGCUACAACCAGGCCAUAAAUUGUUAAAGCUUCCAUAAAAGCUAGACUAAGCAAUAAAGUACCUCGUAUUUUUCCCUCCGCCUCGGGCUGUCUCGCGAUACCUUCUACAGCUUGGCCCGCAGCAGUACCUUGACCAACUCCAGGUCCAAUAGAAGCAAGCCCUACAGCCAAUCCAGCAGCAAUAACGGAAGCGGCAGAAAUCAGUGGAUUCAUGAUAAGUUCCUCAUACCAAAAAAAAUAAAUGGUUAAUGAUACAAUCAGCCGAUGAAUUCUAACUUAAUUAUUCCAUCGCUACGAUUCAUCCAUUCGAAGUAAAAUAAUUACUUCGAUAUCUCUUUUUUGUUCCUAUCGACAAAGUAUUUCUUUGUGAAUCCAUACAACUUUACUUUUUUUUUUGCUAAGUUUGUUUGUAUAUUGGAAAGGAAAAGAGAAAAUACAAUUGCUAAGGGCAUACCCCAGAAGCUUUGGUAGAACCACAUGGGACAACCCCCAAAGUGGACAACAAAGACUAACAACCAAGCCAAAUGAAAGAAAGAACAAGGAGCAGUACUAAGCAGGACAAUAGUAAAAACAAGCAUGGGAACUUAAACAACUUAAACAGCCAAUCCGUUAAAACCAGGCAGCCAAAAGAAUGUAGCCGAAGACCGAGCUGAACUGUAGCAGGAGCAGAAGAGGAUGCUGAGGCAUAGGAAGAACUACGAGUGCCAAUAGGAUAUCCAACCCUGAAGCCGAAACCAGCAUCCCCCAGCAUCCCGAAGAUAAGAGGCUGAACCCCGAAGGGCCGAACCAUAAGAACCGAACCCCGAAGCCGAAACCAGCAUACCCAGCGUCCCGAAGACAAGAUUUUGAACCACGAAACCAAACCAGGAUGUCAGUACUGGCCAAGAAGUCGAACCCAGUACCGGACUGAAAAUGCUACUGAAUUCAUAACGAACAGAAGCAAUAGUUGAACCAUUCUGUCUUUUCCAUCCAGUGCCCGCACUGCGUCAGAAAAUCUUCGUCUUCGAUCUCUCUUCGCAACGCAAUAAAGAAGUCUAACAGUUUCUCUUGACAUCUGUCUUUUCUUUUAAGUCAUUGAUCUCGUAUCUAUCAGCAGGGGGGUCUGCCUUCACUAUUAAGCCUACGCCCGUCCAUUCCUUUUAAGCUUGAUCCCGCCCUUAGACUCGUUACGUUGUUCGACUGAACUCGUUGGCUCCGCGCUCUAUUCGGUCGGAACCCGGUUCGAGAACCUUCUCUCAUAGAUUCCCUUCACCAAGUCAUCGCAAGCAAUCAACUCUUAUCCCUUGGUGGAUAAGGGCGAGUUCCUUUCUUGUCUUGCCCAAAAACUUUCUUUAUUCUCAUUGGAGAAAGACUCUCCCGCGGCAAGGUUUUACACAUAGGGCCAGAUGCUUUCUUUAUCUCGCUUGUCGUUAGUCCGUCUAGCGCCUUUCGGUUGGGGUCCGCCCCGGGGGUUAGACCGCUUGGCUUAUAUUUUCUAGUAUCGAAGGCAGUCAACGUGUCAGCCAUUCUUCUCCCAUUAGACUUGUAAAUCCUUUGCUCUUUUUCCUUCUCUCUUCCAGUUCUCCCCCUCUACUUUAUUUUACAGGGGCGGAGAAUACCACUCUCUCAAUAACAAGAAAAAAGUAGCAAUUCCGUUUCAAAUGGUUUGAGCUUGGAAGCAACCUGCUAUCUAUUGAUAGGCGAGAACAGACUGCUAUUGGCUGCUUCGCCUAUCUAUUCUAUUAUGGCCGGCUUGGAGACAUCAGAGGAAGACCAUCAUCUCUAUCCGGGUACGAUCAUAGCUCCAUUCAUUCGUUGAACCUUGGGGAUAACCAUUAGCAUUGAGGUUAAUCACCACACCACCUCUAUCAUACAUACGACAUUACACGACGCGAGAGUGCAUGGUCAACACACACCUAAAGCGCCUACGUUCCGCUUGCAGCCAAUACAACCACAACCUAACUUGCACGAGAUUCAACAACCGAAGCUACUGACUGGUAGUCCCGAGGGGACGGCAUCCUCCUAUAAUAGUUAGCAGUAUUGAACAAGCGAGUCAUCGGUCCAAAGGACCGCCUUUGAAAAAUAAGGAACUCGCUUAACUCGCUAGGCCUUCGGAACAAAGGCUAUUCUGUUCAUGCUUCAGACGAUCUGGCUAAUUCUAUAUACUUCUAUCUAAUUAGACUUCUUCUAUUAGAAAGGCGAACCUAUAGGCCUGUUUAGCGCGUUUCCAAAGUCAACCUAACCGGUUACCUUUGUCGACGCUACUAAGGACCGGGUGAAGAAUGAAAAACGUCCGCUAACGCCCGCGGGAGAAGCUCUUUUUUAGAUCAGCAACGAAUGUCUUGUAUCUAUGAAGAAAGAUUUAUCCCCGGGUUCAGACCCUGAGUGCCAUACCUUGCUGAAGGCGAUUCACGAGAGAAUCGCGCACAGUUCCCUUUGCUCUAUAGAAAUGGAUGUGAAUGCCCGUGAUCUGCUCGGUAUAGUGAUGGAUUUCAUGGUCGACGUCUAACCGGCACGAAUACGCCGACAUGAAACGAGUUUCCCGCGGAGCAUUUUUUCUUCCGUCCUCGGACGUUCGGACCUUUUGUUUGAUUCCGGCACUUGCGUUCUCAUGCCCGGAACCCUCGCGACUGAUUGGGAGAAAGAGCGAAAGCGAGAAAGAUGGAUUGUUAUCCAUCGAAAAUCGAUAGGAAUUCCCCGGGGAUUGCCUUCUAAUAUAUGUUCUGUCUUUCAUUAUUAACAUCCGCUAAUAAGAAAAACGAGCGAUUGCUAGUCAGCUUUCAUUUUUUUUAAUUUAAUGGUAGGGGCUGAGGCUCUGAAGGCUUUCCAACUUUCUUCAAUUAGGGAAUAGCGCAGAUGGAUCAAUCACGCGGUUCUGCAGCGUCCUCCAACUCGCUGUCCGCUCCCCUUCAUUUUUUUUGCUGGACGGGAAGAUGCGAAUCGUGAAGGCCUUCCCACCACGCGAAGUUCAAACCUCGCCGGAGAGCGAAGCGAAUUGAAAACCGGCCUCAAAUCCCUUCGCAAUCGAAGGUGAAAGCGGGAAAAAGACGACGAACCCUUUUUUCUUUCUUUUUCAGCCGACUUGAAAUGAAAGGUGCUCUCAGUGUACCGCCAUACGCACCCAGACAUUAGACCAAUUGUGGCUGGCCCAACGGUUUCCAGAAUGCCGUUGUCAUGAUGUUGAUCCGGCUUCUGCGACUACGGCAUCCGCGUAGCUCCGAAUACGCGCAUUGGAGCUUUUCGCUCGAUGUCCCCGGUCGCUCUGUUGUAAACCGCUGUUUCGUCGGGCGGUGGCUUAUUUCUAACACCCCCUUACUAGAUCAAACAAAUAAAGCUCCAUUGAAUGAAUCCCUCCCCAACAAGGGUCAAUGGUUCGGGGAAAAGCCUAUCUCAGUGAUGUUCAAAAACGAGAAAGGCGUCGUUCGAAAACUCGCGUUAACUCGUUUUGGACCACCUUCUACUUUUGAACCAGUUCUCGACCCCGAGCGUAGGCGACUCAAAGAAAGGCGCACUGGCAGCUCGUAGUCGCGGCAAACGCACUUUGAUUGUUCAAUCAUUACAUUAAUAGGGGCCUUCCAGGAAUUGACCAAGCAGGAACCAGGGAUCAAAGUUCCAUUGAUUCAUCUAUCUCAAAUAGGGAAAAACUGAAUCAAGAAGGGGUCAGCUGAGCUCGAAAGGGGCAGCCGGUCGUUGGCUAGGAGCUCUGGCCGGCAACGAAACUAAAGCUUCACACUGGUCCACUCGCAACUUACACGGCUAAGUUCCAACUCUAUGUUGAUAAGAAAAAAGAAAAUCCCCUAAGAAGAAGACUUUCAACUAUUCCAACAGAAAAGGGCAAUUCAAAUGCUUCAUAGAUAACCCCCUGUGUCUCGUUCCCGUCCAACUCACCGGGAGAUCGAAGAGCGGUUUGCGCUUCGCGCCCCAACCCCCAACACUAAUGGAUGCUUAGAUACCUGCAACUGAAUCUGUAAGCGGCGCAGGGCAGGAUGGACGAGAAAAGCGGCGAGAAGAAGACAAACAGAGGGAGGAAGGGAAGCGAGAGCUGACUCGACUGUUAAGGACCCAAAGGGGAUCGACUGUUUCGGAGAGUCCAAAAUCGAAAUUAUAAAAGUUGUAUCCCUUCGGUGCUCACGCCGCAAGCCAGCAACAACUCCGAUCACAUCAAGAGUCUUGACGACGGAGUAGUACGGCUGACUCUCAGAAGCAGAAGGCCAGAUGAAGACCAAGGAAGAAUGGUUUACCCACUCCAGUCUAUCUCUAUGAUAACUCGAGUCCAGCCUGUAGAUGAGAAAAAGGAGCUACAAAGGAAAAGAUUCCCGAAGACUUGAAGAGAGAGUUGGAUGCAGAACACUAUCUGUAUCUCAACGAUCCUCGAAGACAACAGUGGCUCACAGAUUACACUGAAGAACAGAGGAUACUGAUCCGGAACAGAUGGAUUGAAGAACGAAAGGCAGGUUCUUGGAUUUUGAAUUUCCAUUUAGAUUAGAGUUGCCGCUCCUAAAUAAGAAGUGUUAGCGAACUGCGGUCUACGAUCAGCUAUCAGCCCAAGCGCUUUCUUUCUUCCGUCUACCCUUCGCUUAGCGGCUAAGCUCUUCGCCCCUUCCUAUCCGAAUUCGUCCAUUAAGCCAACGGUAAAACGGUUUCAUUGAACUGGAAUCCACUAUCGUAUAGAGAAGUGGCUUUUGUAUUUCCAACUCUUUCUCCUCGUCGGUGAAGUGGCAUUCUCUUUCUCUUCAAUUAUAGGAAGUGAGGCUGCCCCGGCUCGGCACGUAUCUUUUGAAUCUGAGCUGGCUUGUUGAGCUUGCCUCUGAUCGCAUUCCGUUGACCUGUGAUUCAAUGGACUGACUAUAUGUGUCCGGUUCAGAAGUGGAUACAGAAGGCAUGGCAGGGCCGAUGAUGACUCAUCUAAUUCCGUGCUGUGCUUUUUAAAAUCCCGCUCAAUCACGUAAAUAAAGAUCAGAUAGUUAGUCUUCCUCGCCGGCUGGGGACGCACCCCUUUCUCUGACAUCAAAUUCACUGAUAGCGAUCGAUUAAUGAAUGGCGGGUGAACUCGUUCUCCGAUGAGAGUUUCCUGCUUUCAAGCCGGUCAGACCUACAAGUUCGCUUGCUGGAUUGGUUGGGAUAUAGGUAGGUGUCAUGGGAAGAAGGUGAAUCAAUGGUAGAACAAGGGCUUCUUUCCUUCUUGUCGAUUGGUUUAGUUGAACUCAACCGGGUAUGUCUUUCGCAAAGUAAAGUGAUUGUAUAAUAGAAAUAGAAGAGAAAGCUCGGGUGAACGCUCAUAAAUUAAAUGAGAUCAGGUGCCAUUACACUCUCUCCCAAUGUCAUAUGGAGUGGCUGGUGCAUCUUCGACAUUCAGAUAGGUAGCUCAUUUCACGAUGAGAGAUAUAAGAUCGGGUUAGAACGAAAGCUAGUUUCAGAGUGGGUGCUUCUUUCUGGCUGCUUGGUUUAUAUAAGAAUAGAGUGCGGCUAGAAGCGGGGAUUCUUCAUCCUUUUUCUCUCCUUGACAAUCCAACAAGCUUUUAGUUGGCCUGCGUGAAGGUUGUUUUGGUACAGCCAGAUCCGCUUUGAGUGCCGUGGGAUAGAGAGAGGUGUCCGGUUCAGCAGAUUCUAACUCAUCUAAGAUGGUUUAAGAAUCUCUCUCUUCCGUUGCUGACUCUCCCCGGAACCCAACGGUCAAUCAGUCCCUUGCUUCGGUUCUCUCAUUUCCGAAUCAAAAUAAAAGAAAUACACUAGAAUCUUAGCUACGAAAGCGGAUGCAUUGCCCAUCUGAACAAAAGGAGAGUUUCCGAACUUCACACAGCCUAUUGUAAAGAUGCGCAACCUAUAAAAGGAGAAACUACACCUGAUCUAUUCGAUUAGCAGCGAUAGAUGCCAAAAAGCAAAAUAGUGCGACGAGUAGCGUAGCACCUCGAAUAGGCUAGCCCUCCGCUAAGCAGUCAAUUCUAUCUCUUCCUUUUGGUUAACCAGAUAAGAACCAAUAACCGUGUAACCCGCAGGUUCCUCGGCAUCUCUUCCGUCGACCUAGGUGUUUCAAAUCGGAAUAUCCUUACCAAAUUGUGGUUCUAGGGAAGGGCGGAGUAUACUUACCUGUUCGGAAGAUGCGUACAAAGAAGAUUCACGCGCGAAGGGACGAGCGAAAGGCUUCCUAGUAUUCCAUAUCCUGGUAUAAGAAAGAAAGUCGAGCUAGGCAAGGUCUUCUGUGAGUGAACGAGAUGAGGAUCGAGGCAGUUCAGUUCCCCCGAGGUAGGUGCUUUCUUCGCAAGUAUGUCUGUUGAUGGCGCUGUCCUAUCUGCUCAAGGAAAGCUGUCCAACUCAACGUGUUACGCAUCAGCGGCAUUUGCUACAUAAUCCGCAUCUCUUGUCAGAAUUUAUACUAUAAGGGAGGACAAAAAGUCUGCUUAGUAUUCUCGGACCCGGGGGUGAUUCCAUUCACUUCUUCAACUGCUAAGAAGAAUAGCUUUUCUUCCCAGAUCGGGAUUCCUAUAAUAAAAUAAGUAUCAAAAUAAGGCUCAGGCCAGCGAUGAGGAUUAGUUGGCAAUUGCCUUAUUAAAUGGAAUUGAAUGAAAUUCAAGGAGGAGAUGCGAGGAAGAGCUCAUUAGAUCCAUGCCACUUCGAACUCCAAGUCUUAAGCAAACUGGCAUCUACCUUGCCUUGCUCUGUAGCCGGAAUAGAUAGAUUCAAGGGGCGAAGGAAAGAUAGUUCUUUGAGUGACAGAGAUUCCGAUUCAACUUCUCCCACGGGGAAAUCCAGCCUUUAUAGUUCAGCUAGCCUAUUAGGCGCUGUGUAAGAGCUCUAUGCUAUCUAUGGAAUAGCGGUCAGUGCUGCUUGAAAGUUUGAAACAAGUCUUGGAUUCGGUAGAGAAGUAGGCGUAGAGGAUAUUGAUAAAGAUCCCACAUCUGGUUAACUGCUUUAGGAGUGCCGGCUCCAGGCUAGAGAAAAGAUAGGCUAUGAAGCUGUGAAAAAGAGUUUCUAUCGAAAGUUUUCUUUUUAGUCACCGAUAAAGAAAGUAGCUAGGCUUCCUGGUGGUUUGAAAGAGAUCUUAGUGCCUUAGACGACCUAGAAGGAGGAUUGCUUCUCUCACCCGUAGCAAGGUAGCCCAAGAUUCUUUUGAGACGAAUGAAUGCCGAAGAAAGGAAGGCCUGAGAGCUUACUCCGCUGUUCGUGGUGGAAUAAGGGCUUAGGAGUAGUAGGGCUAAAGGCAUGCCUUAAGGCAGCUCGUGACCUAAGGUAGGCGCAUUAGAAUGAAUUAGUGUUAGUUUUGGCAUUUCUCGCAGGGGAAUAGGAAGAAUUUCAAAUGACAAAGCGAAAUUCUCUUAUUAAAAAAGCGGACUAGGAGCGGAAGGCGAAAGGGGAUUUCNNNNNNN
rnacentral:lncRNA from 1 species